UACGUAGGGUGCAAGCGUUAAUCGGAAUUACUGGGCGUAAAGCGUGCGCAGGCGGUUCUAUAAGACAGAUGUGAAAUCCCCGGGCUCAACCUGGGAACUGCAUUGUGACUGUAGAGCUGGAGUGCGGCAGAGGGGGAUGGAAUUCCGCGUGUAGCAGUGAAAUGCGUAGAUAUGCGGAGGAACACCGAUGGCGAAGGCAAUCCCCUGGGCCUGCACUGACGCUCAUGCACGAAAGCGUGGGGAGCAAACAGG
rnacentral:rRNA from 1 species